rnacentral:lncRNA from 1 species
AUUACAUCAAAAUAAUUACAUUGUUUGAUAUACAAUCUGUAUACUCAUUUCUAUACAUUGUUUGAACUCAAAUUUCUACACUAAGAAACUUCAGAGAUGCCAAAUCAGUAUACUCAUUUGUAACAACAAAAAUAUCCACGCAAACACCUGCUUGAACAGCAACUGCAGCCUGUAAAAUUGUCAAAGCUUACAUGGAUUGUAGUAGCCUAAACAAACAAUUUGACCUUAUAAUGUCAUCUAAAUCCCUAGAUUUGGAACCACACCAUCCAAAUGGAUCCUUAGUUUUGGUGACACAUAUAUUCAUGAGAUUAAGCUUCAAAUUCUAUAUCCUAAAGCAUAACCCUAACUAAACCCACUCAUAAACCAUUAGGAAAAAUCUCUCAUCUGACACAACAAAUAAAAGAGUUGGACACAAGAAACUGAACACUGACUCUCAUUGUCAUCAACAAUGGCACAGCCCAAUGACAUGACGCCCUUCAGCUCUACACAUUAUCAUCUUAUUUCUUCUAAAGUACUACCGAUUGUAAUAUAAAAAACAGACCAACAUAAAAGACAGUUAUGCCAACUUAUCACUUUCUCAGGGCAACAUUAUUUGAAAGGUUAUAUCCAUAAUUUAACUCAUUUUAAUAGAAGAAAGAGCAUACCAAUUUGGCAUUGAAAAAUACAUGUUCAAAGCUAAAACUUUCAGUUCCACAAUUGUGUAAAAAAUUAAGCCAUGAUCACAGUACAAGGGGAUCCUAAGGCCACCAAUGUAAAUUCAAAGACGACAUUAAGAUCGAUUACACCAGAUAAAGCAUUGAAUAUACAACAACAUUAUGAGAUAUCAAAUUGAAUACUUAGCAUAUAUAAACCAAAAUCGAUUACACCAUUGUCAUUGACUAUGCAAACCCAGGGCCACAAGAUAAGUACAUAAAAAAAAUUUUCCAAGAUUCCUAAAAUAGCAAAAUUUAAAAAAUACUAAUGCCAGAACUUAUAAUGUGCCUAGAUUUGUUACUAUGAAGUCCUCUCAACAACCAAAGAUACAAGAAUUGUCUAUGACAAUUUUUUAUUUAAAUUUUACAAAGAAUGAGUAUUUGUACUAGAGCAGAACUGGUCUUGCUAGCAAUUCCUAUGGAUUAUAAUCUUUCUUGGUUCUUAGAUUCUAUUAUACUUGGGAAAAAUGCAAGAAAUUGAAAAACCCAAUUUGCAUGUUUUGGUUGACAAGUAAACAGGAGCAUAUAAGAAACUUUCUUCACCAAUAGAGUUGGAUUUUAAUCACAAGCAGCAAUUCCUAUCAAUACUCAACAUUGUUAAUCAUUCUCGCCAUAGCAAGGACUUGCAGAUACACAUAUAGGAGGGAAAGUAGAACCUCAAUAACUUUGACCAUUCACCGGAUCUGUUUUGACAGACUUUGCUGGAUCCUAGCAAGAACUUGUUGCCAUUGUAAAUUUCAAACACUAUGAUGAGGGAAUUAAACUAACAGAAAAACCAAAGAAGAAAAAUAGACAGAUUUAGCUUUAUUUCCCUUCCAUUUCCUCAAUUUUCUCAACAACUAAAUACAGAAAAAGAAAACCUCAAAGCAUUAAUAUAUCACUAAUAACAGCACAAAUUAAAAGAAACUUACCUCAAGCACAGGAUGGAAACAGAAAAAUCAAUCAAAUUGAGCCAGAGCAAAACACCCAGAAGAAAUUAUCAGCUUUCCAAUUCAAUUUUAUCCGAACCAUUCAAGAAAACCCCAAUGAACAUAUCAAAUUAACAACCAGGAAUAGCACUACAACAAUGUUUACCUGUGGUUGUUUACCAGUCGAACGUGAACUUAAUUAACACUGGUUAUCGUUGGGCUAAUAGGAAUGAGAGAGAAUUUGUUGGUAUUUAAAUGAGGGAGAACGGGUCAUGCGAAAGGGGGGGCGGGGGGAGAGGGAGAGAGAGAGGAGGAGGACGACGAAGAAGUAGUUGUCGUCGCCGGAGAAGAGGAGGUGGAGGAGUAGUGGUGGUGGUCGUCGGUGCUUGGUGGUUGGAGGUAGAUGGGAGCGCUGAUGUUGUCGAGGAAGAUGAAGUGUGAAGCGAUGAAUUAGGUUUUAGAUGUUUUGGGGAUUUUUUUUUUGGUUUUUUUUUUU